AGAGGAAGUAAAAGUCGUAACAAGGUUUCCGUAGGUGAACCUGCGGAAGGAUCAUUAUUGAAAUAAACCUGAUGGGUUGUUGCUGGUUCUCUAGGGAGCAUGUGCACGCUUGUCAUCUUUAUAUCUCCACCUGUGCACCUUUUGUAGACCUGGAUAUCUCUCUGAGUGCUAGCCACUCAGGUUUGAGUAUUGACUUUGUGUCUUUUCUUACAUUUCCAGGCCUAUGUUUUCCCAUAAUACCCAAUGUAUGUCUUAGAAUGUAUUCAAUGGGCCUCUGUGCCUAUAAAAUCUAUACAACUUUCAGCAACGGAUCUCUUGGCUCUCGCAUCGAUGAAGAACGCAGCGAAAUGCGAUAAGUAAUGUGAAUUGCAGAAUUCAGUGAAUCAUCGAAUCUUUGAACGCACCUUGCGCUCCUUGGUAUUCCGAGGAGCAUGCCUGUUUGAGUGUCAUUAAUAUAUCAACCUCUUCAAAUUUUUUGUUUGAUGAGUGUUGGAUGUGGGGGAACUGCUUUGCUGGUCUAAACAGGUCAGCUCCCCUGAAAUGCAUUAGCAGAACCAUUUGCAGAUCGUUCAUUGGUGUGAUAAUUAUCUACGCUAUUAACGUGAAGUAGUUCAGCUUCUAACAGUCCAUUGACUUGGACAAUUCUCAUUAAUGUGACCUCAAAUCAGGUAGGACUACCCGCUGAACUUAAGCAUAUCAAUAAGCGGAGGAAAAGAAACUAACAAGGAUUCCCCUAGUAACUGCGAGUGAAGCGGGAAAAGCUCAAAUUUAAAAUCUGUCAGUCUUUGGCUGUCCGAGUUGUAAUCUAGAGAAGCGUUAUCCGCGCUGGACCGUGUACAAGUCUCCUGGAAUGGAGCGUCAUAGAGGGUGAGAAUCCCGUCUUUGACACGGACUGCCAGGGCUUUGUGAUGCGCUCUCAAAGAGUCGAGUUGUUUGGGAAUGCAGCUCAAAAUGGGUGGUAAAUUCCAUCUAAAGCUAAAUAUUGGCGAGAGACCGAUAGCGAACAAGUACCGUGAGGGAAAGAUGAAAAGAACUUUGGAAAGAGAGUUAAACAGUACGUGAAAUUGCUGAAAGGGAAACGCUUGAAGUCAGUCGCGUUGUCCAGGAAUCAACCUUGCUUUUGCUUGGUGUACUUUCUGGUUGACGGGUCAGCAUCAAUUUUGACUGUUGGAAAAAGGUCAGGGGAAUGUGGCAUCUUUGGAUGUGUUAUAGCCCUUGGUUGCAUACAAUGGUUGGGAUUGAGGAACUCAGCACGCCGCAAGGCCGAGUAACUUGUUACUAC
rnacentral:rRNA from 1 species